rnacentral:rRNA from 1 species
AAGAUUAGUAUAAACGAGUGGCAAACGGAUGACUAGGAUGUUAUAAUUUGAGGACGUUAUAAAUACGAAAGAUGGGCAGAGAAGGUAUGAAAGCCCAUUUUCCAUAAGUAAACCUAAAUUCUAAACCCUAGGAAUUGAAACAUCUUAGUACUAGGAGGAAAAGAAAUCAAGCGAGAUUCCGUGAGUAGUGGCGAGCGAAAGCGGAUAUAGACUAUGGAAUCCCGCCUUUAGGGGCGGGGAUGAAAUUGAAAACCAAAGAGGGUAACAGGCCCGUAGAUAAAAUCGAUGAUUCCGUAGUUCUUGGAGUAGAACUAUUUGAAGAAAGGUGCUCCAUAUAUCUAAAACUAAAUAUUAUAACAUACCAAUAGUGAAUUAGUACUGUGAAGGAAAGUUGAAAGAGAUAAUAGUGAAAUAGAGCCUGAAANUUGCCAUCUCACAAGCAGACGAAAUUCGUUGUACCUUUUGUAUAAUGGGUUCGCAAGAUAAAUAUUUGGCAAACUUAAGUUAAUAGACGUAGGUGUAGUGAAAACGAGUUUGAAUAGAGCGUUAGUCAAAUAGAGCCCGAAACCAAGUGAUCUAGCCAUGGGCAGUUUGAANCCCGUUUAAUAGCGGGCGGAGGAACGAACCGGUGAUUGUGGCAAAAAUCUCGGAUGACCUGUGGCUAGGGGUGAAAAGCCAAUCGAACUUGGAAAUAGCUGGUUUUCUGCGAAAACUAUUGAAGUAGUGCGUCAUAUGGCGGGAUAGUCGGGAUAUCCUCGGAUAUCCCUAUAGCCGUAUAUUCUUACACAGUAAAGCACUGAAUGGGUUUAGGGGUUAGGCCUACUAAAUUCAACCAAACUAUGAAGGUGUAAGGAGAAAAUAUGAUAGACAGACAGUGGGCGAGAAGGUCCAUUGUCAAGAAGGGAACAACCUAGAUCAGAAGUUAAGGUCAUAAAUAUAAUCUAAGUGUAAAAGGGAAUUUGUAAAUUAAGACAAUGAGAAAGUAGGCUUGGAACCAGCCACCUUUGAAAGAUUACGUAACAGUUCACUCAAUAAAUUUAUAGAUCCCAAAAAUUAUGGUGGCUUAAGCUUGUUAUACUAGCCACCUAGGUUAUCCUAGGUGGCUAGUAUUAAUACCCCCUAGUCUCACUAGGGGGUAUGAAACCGAAACUCUGAAUAAAUACCAUAAGGGGCGAGGCCCCGGUGGCUUAUAGUGGUAGCAGAACGUACUGUAAAUAAUAACCAUCGACUGAAUAAAUACCCGAUGGUUGGUUAUUGCGAAAGCGUUUAUCAGGAGUGAUAAUGCGAACAUGAGUAAAAAACAGUGUGAGGAUCACUGCUCACGGCCCAAGGUUUCCAAUCAUAGGAUUAUCCGGAUUGGGUUAUACAGUCCCUAAGAGGGCUUCAUAGUAUAGGGAUAUCCUCGGAUAUCCCGAUAUAGGACCGACCAUGUCGGUGCUAUUUCGAUGGGAGUAUUUAAUAACAAGUGUCUAAGAUAUUAUAAGAAAUUAUUCAGGGUAAGACCCUAGGCUGUACUAAAACUAACACCAGUGGGCAUAAAAGUGAUGGUAUAAUUUAUCUUAAGGAACUCGGCAAAAUGUCCCUGUAAGUUCGCAAGAAGGGGAGCCAGCUAUAGACAGAGGUAACCUGGACUAGGUUAUCUAAUUUGACUGGUCUCAGAAAAGAGGGGGUGUCGACUGUUUACCAAAAACAUAGCUUCCAGCAAAGGGCCAAGGGCCUGAAGUAUUGGAGGUGAGGCCUGCCCAAUGGUUGUAUCUAAAACCAAGUAAUAAAAAAAGUUAGCUUGGGUAAGGACAAUUGAAUGGCCGCGGUAAAUCUGACCGUGAUAAUGUAGCGCAAUCAAUAGCCAAUUAAUUGUUGGCAAGUAUGAAUGGCUUAACGAAUGCCCCGCUGUCUCAAGAUAAAAACCAAUGAAAUUGAAUUCGUAGUGAAGAUGCUACGUAUAAAUUGUUAGACGAGAAGACCCCAUUGAGCUUUACUGGAGACUUAUAUGGUUCUUUACCAAUUAAUUGUGUAGACUAUGUGGGUAAACCCUCGCGUAUGCCGGCAUAUAGGCAUCUAUGAUGCCUAGGCCAUGCCGCAUGGGGUUAUAAUGCGAUACCCGAGGACUACGUCCCGGAUAUCCUUAAUGAAAAACCACUCUUGAAUUAUAAAAAGAACUAAAAUAAUGGAAAGGUAUAUGUCAGACAGUUUGGUUGGGGCGACCGCCUUCUAAAGAGUAACGAAGGCGUACAUAAGGUUAAUAAUAUAAUAGUAUAAAGUUUAAAGCCUGACAGUAAGGAGGACGUCCGAGCUGACACGCCGUAGGCAGCUGGCCUAUUCCGUGGGUUAUAAUGACCCGUUAGCUUAGAAUGGGAUAGCUAACGAGCAACGAAUAAAAGUUACCAUGGGGAUAACAGCGUAAUAUCGUUUGAGAGUUCAUAUCGACGACGAUGUUUGCGACCUCGAUGUUGAAUUGCGGGAUCCUGGAGGUGCAGCCGCUUCCAAGGGUUGGACUGUUCGUCCAUUAAAGCCGUACAUGAUUUGAGUUCAGACCGGCGUGAGCCAGGUCGGUUUCUAUCUACAAUUUAUGUAGGAAACAUUAGAUAUAACUAUAUUCUAGUACGAAAGGACCGAAUGAUUAGUUAUCCGCUGGUGAACCAAUUGUAGUUAAUCAAGGUCGAUGGCGAGGAAUAUAGGACCGACCAUGUCGGUCCCAUAGGCCAUGCCGCCUGAAGUAUUACUGUUGGGUGGCUACGAUAAUUAAAAUAAUCACUGAAUGCAUCUCAAGUGAGAAGUUAAAUAUCAUUCUAUGUUUCCAAUAUAUAGACUGUUUGAGAAUAAAACGUGGAUAGGAUCUGUGUUUAUUAGCAUCGGGGAUGCGAUAGACCGACUAUGUCGGUCCGAUGCACGCCUCUAUUCUAAGCUAAAGAUUACUAAUGGUCUAAUUUACUAAUCAU